GCUUUUGCACUCUCUAUGGUUUUUAUGGAUCGGGGGGUUUGGUACUCCGACUAUGGAUAGCAUAGACAGUGAAAACGUACAAGUUCAACUUUGAACGAAAACGUGCAAGUUCAAGUUUGGUCUGAAUCUGUUUGGAGUAUGUGCGGUACUGGAGGUACGGGUGCGCUGGUGGGCUGUCUUUCCAAACAGAUUCAAGCCAAAAGUCAUUGGAUCUGUUUGUAGUCUUUCCGUCCGGGUUGAGGUAAUAAACAGGUUUCCCGGAUGUCAGCUACAGAUUCGAGACAUUCAUGGAAUGCACACAACAAGCAUCUAGGCCGAGUCUAGAGCAUGCAUCUGCCACAACUGGGUGGAAGGACAUGCUUUGGGCUCGGCCAUUGCACGUUAAGGUAUACUCUGAUUCCAG
rnacentral:misc_RNA from 1 species